rnacentral:tRNA from 1 species
UUUGAUGCCUGAAUUUUUAUUUUUAGGCCAUAAUCCUGUCACCUUAGGUCGAUCGGUACCUCAGUUUGAGGUUUCAAAAACCAAGAAAUUAGUUUUUAGAACUUUGAAUUCAGUUCCUAAACUUUGUCUAGUUCACACCCAGCAAGGGUACUCCUGGGCCAUUAGCUCAGGUGGUUAGAGCGCACCCCUGAUAAGGGUGAGGUCCCUGGUUCAAGUCCAGGAUGGCCCAUUCGGUGUUGGGGGUAUAGCUCAGUCGGUAGAGCGCCUGCUUUGCAAGCAGGAUGUCAGCGGUUCGAGUCCGCUUACCUCCACUGAUCCAUUUCCUGAUAACGAAGCUUAAGGAGGUUUUUGUUUGAUGUGAUCUAGAAUUUGUUCUUUAUGAAUGAACCUAGCUUCUUGUCAUUCCUACUAAAAAUGAUUUUUUAUAAUGUUGAUAGGACGCUGGGCUCCCUGCAAUAUUAAUUGCAGUGAUGUUCAGUAGAACCUUGACAACUGCAUAGUGAGUCUGGAAAAAAUAAAGCAUCUCAUGGAUGCAUUGUUUUUUUAACUAUAGCUAGGAUCCUAUCAAGUUAGAGCCCUGAUUUGUUUGAGAUAUAAUGUUCAGUUCUUGAGCAAGAACCUAGACUGCUUUUACG